rnacentral:rRNA from 1 species
AACGAACGCUGGCGGCGUGCCUAACACAUGCAAGUCGAACGUGAAAGUCCUUCGGGAUGAGUAAAGUGGCGCACGGGUGAGUAACACGUAGGUGACCUGCCUUUUAGAGGGGAAUAACCAGAAGAAAUUUUGGCUAAUGCCGCAUACGAAGUACAAAUCUAAAAGUAGUACUUGAAAGAAUGCCUCUGUAUAUGCAUUCGCUAAAAGAUGGGCCUGGGGUACAUUAGCUAGUUGGUGGGGUAAUGGCCUACCAAGGCGACGAUGUAUAUACGGUCUGAGAGGAUGAUCGGACACACUGGAACUGAGACACGGUCCAGACUCCUACGGGAGGCAGCAGUGGGGAAUAUUGCGCAAUGGGGGAAACCCUGACGCAGCAACGCCGCGUGAGUGAGGAAGGACUUCGGUCUGUAAAGCUCUGUUAAUGUGGAAAAAUGGUAGUUGGUCUAAUAGGCCGAUUAUUUGAUGGUACACAUAGAGGAAGCACCGGCUAACUUCGUGCCAGCCGCCGCAGUAAAAC